UUUAAUUUUAUAAAUUGGUAUUCAAAUUGGUUAAUAGAGUGACUAACUAUUUUUUGACACUAAAAUUGAGGAUUUUCUUGUGGUGUUUAUACUCACUUAAUGCGGAAAUUCCCACGAAAACGAAUCCGUGCACAGAUAUAUAUUUAUUUGUGCCACCGUGUCCUCCACCACUGCUUCGCUCACACCAUCGACUCUCCUCCGUACACCACCUCCUACAGCCCUCCCCCGUGCUGCCCCGCCCCGUGGUCUCGCGUCGUGCUCCAUUUCCACGCCCGCUGCAAGGGCGAGCAGUACGACCGCAUCGCCGCCAUCUGGAUCGCCGGCGCCGAAAUCCUCCGCACCAGCACCGCCGAGCCCACCGCCGACGGCAUCUUCUUGAACGUCCGCAAGGACGUCACGAGAUACUCCUCCCUCUUCGCCAAAUCCAACCUCGACCUUACCAUGAUGCUAGAAAACAUCGUGAACACAGUUCACAGGCGUCUACCACGUUACCGUCACUCUCCUCUACUACAACGAGUACGCCGUUAAGGCCCCCGUCAGGGUUCCGUUUGUCCCCUGCCCCGAGGAGCUUACUUUCAAUCCAAUUUCUCUGCCUAAAUCUCGAUCUCUUAUCCAGGAUCCUGGCUCCAGAGGCGUGAAUGAGUCGCCGGCGGAUUUGAUUAUUCCGAUAUCCGAUGAUGGACGGCGAGGGUUUUGGUUCAAGUUGGAGGAGGAGAAAAGUUCCUUCUCCCGGAAAGUUCGAAUUCCGAGAAACACCUAUCGCGCGGUGCUUGAAUUAUACGUUUCUUUUCACGGAAACGACGAGUUUUGGUACUCGAACCCGCCGACUUCGUACAUCACGGCGAACGGUUUGGCGACGGAGCGUGGGAACGGCGCGUACAGGGAAGUUUACGCGACGAUCGACGGGCAGGUUGUCGGGUCGGAGGUUCCGUUUCCGGUGAUAUUCACCGGCGGGAUCAACCCUUUGUUCUGGGAGCCCAUGGUGGCGAUCGGGGCUUUUAACCUUCCCUCAUACGACAUCGAUUUGACGCCGUUUUUGGGGAAAGUUUUGGAUGGGAAGGAGCACGUGUUCGGAAUAGGGGUGGUGAAGGGAAUAUCUUACUGGCUGGUGAACGCAAACUUGCAUCUUUGGUUGGACCACGAAUCAAAGGUGGUUCAUGCUAAUCCCGUGGUUCAUCACAGUCCUGAAACUUCGAUCGAACGGCAAGAGGGGUUUCGAGGGCUUGAUGGGUCGUUUGACGUGGACGCGGAGCAGGAAACGCACAUCACAGGGUGGGUCAUGACCAGUGCAGGCAACAUCACCACCACGGUUUCUCAGGGAUUCUCGUUCAAGAACUUCAUAAAGUUCCAACACAAUGGGAGUAUCAAGACCGUUAAGCAGAAGUUCAAGGCAAAGAAAAAAGUUAAGGUGAUCGAUGGAAAAGGUGAAUCUAUCACCAGGUUGAAGGUUAGACGAAGGUACCCUUUAAGGGUUGUCACCACCACUAAGGAGUUUCUCGAUGGCACAUACCGGCUUGUCACCGAGCUUUCUCAUAUUCUCAAUGAGAAGCAUGUAAGUGGGUGCUUCUCGAAAUCCAUUACCAAUGCCCAGAAUUCCAAGGGCUGGAUCGAUGUGAAGGGUCACUCUGUUGUGUCGGGUCAGGCAAGCACCACGCAGAAUUAUAGUUAUGUUGAUGGGUUCAUGUGCUACUCCCGGAAUGUUGCUGCGUCUAAUGGAAGGAUUGUCUUGGACAAUUCAACGUUUGUUUGUGAAUUGUGAAGAUUCUUUAUAGUUUCUUUUCUCGUACAUGUAUUAUGUAGUUUCCUGCAUAGGGUUUUAGUUUUAUUUUUUCUAGGAAGAGGAAUGUGUAGUGUCUUUUGAAUCUGCAUGUAUGUAUGUAUUGCUUGCAUUCAGCCACCGUGCCUGGAUCUAGACACAGAAGGAUCAUAGCAUUAGUAUAUGAUUCCUGACAGAGUACAGCUUGCACAUAACUGUGCAUGCCAAAGUUAUGGUAAACUCGUAUCACAGCAUGAGUAUCCGGAAAAGAAAAUAUAUCAGAAAAACAAAAAUUCUCCGUA